UAGGGAAUCUUCCACAAUGGACGCAAGUCUGAUGGAGCAACGCCGCGUGAGUGAAGAAGGUUUUCGGACCGUAAAGCUCUGUUGUUGGUGAAGAAGGAUAGAGGUAGUAACUGGCCUUUAUUUGACGGUAAUCAACCAGAAAGUCACGGCUAACUACGUGCCAGCAGCCGCGGUAAUACGUAGGUGGCAAGCGUUGUCCGGAUUUAUUGGGCGUAAAGCGAGCGCAGGCGGAAGAAUAAGUCUGAUGUGAAAGCCCUCGGCUUAACCGAGGAAUUGCAUCGGAAACUGUUUUUCUUGAGUGCAGAAGAGGAGAGUAGAACUCCAUGUGUAGCGGUGGAAUGCGUAGAUAUAUGGAAGAAUACCAGUGGCGAAGGCGGCUCUCUGGUCUGCAACUGACGCUGAGGCUCGAAAGCAUGGGUAGCGAACAGGAUUAGAUACCCUGGUAGUCCAUGCCGUAAACGAUGAGUGCUAAGUGUUGGGAGGCUUCCGCCUCUCAGUGCUGCAGCUAACGCAUUAAGCACUCCGCCUGGGGGAGUACGACCGCAAGGUUGAAACU
rnacentral:rRNA from 1 species